rnacentral:rRNA from 1 species
AUUGAACGCUGGCGGCAUGCCUUACACAUGCAAGUCGAACGGUAACGCGGGGCAACCUGGCGACGAGUGGCGAACGGGUGAGUAAUGUAUCGGAACGUGCCCAGUUGUGGGGGAUAACUGCUCGAAAGAGCCGCUAAUACCGCAUACGACCUGAGGGUGAAAGCGGGGGAUCGCAAGACCUAGCGCAAUUAGAUAGGCGGAUAUCAGAUUAGGUAGUUGGUGGGGUAAAGGCUCACCAAGCCGACGAUCUGUAGCUGGUCUGAGAGGACGACCAGCCACACUGGGACUGAGACACGGCCCAGACUCCUACGGGAGGCAGCAGUGGGGAAUUUUGGACAAUGGGCGCAAGCCUGAUCCAGCCAUGCCGCGUGCGGGAAGAAGGCCUUCGGGUUGUAAACCGCUUUUGUCAGGGAAGAAAAGGCUCCUGUUAAUACCGGGGGCUCAUGACGGUACCUGAAGAAUAAGCACCGGCUAACUACGUGCCAGCCGCCGCGGUAA